AUGCCGAGUCAACCGACUCCAAUCCUCGUUGACUCGUCUCUGUUUCUGAUCCUUCUACCACGACCAACCCCAUAUAAUUUCCGCCCGAGUCCUCCUCUACCGAUUUUCGCCAAAACGGAGUUCUCCCGUGCCCUAGAACGGCUGUUCGAUCUCACCGGAGUUCAGCCGCUGUUGACCUCCACCAUCGUCGUUUCCGUCGUCGACAGGGGGGGAGCACCAGGACGCCGCCCACGAGCCCAACCCGAAGAAGAUCGCCGCCGCCCCAAAGCUCCUGUCGCCGUCGAUUCUGUCGCGUCUGGACGCAUCCAAACCGAGAACAUCGAGCUCGACCCGAAGCUCCACUCCGACGUCGCCGUCCAGCCGGUCCUCGCGGACGCUAGCAGAAGCUCCGGUCGCCCAGGGGCACAUAUUCGAGUUCGCUGUGUUCCUCCUCACCUCGUCCUGUUCUCCCCUAGCUUGGGAGACCUCUCCAGCGAGCGCACGCUCGAAGUCCGAGCCGGCCACGCCGUCUUCCUCAACUCCGGCGGCCAUCGAGCCAUGUCUCUCCGAUUUUCAGAUGAUCAGUGA
rnacentral:rRNA from 1 species